GUGUGGCUGGCCUAAGACCUCCUUAGAAACCAGGGACAUCACUAGGAUUGAAAGAUGGGGGGGGUUGGCCCGAAGAGUUGCAGAAGACCGUCUUUCCUCAAGCCUUGAGCAGGUCUUCCUUUUUUCUACUAACAGCCAGAGUGAGUUUGAGUUGGUAUUUGAAAGUCUACGCGUUGGGGCUGGCUGGGCAGGAGAGAACUGGCAAUCUCAGCUGCAGGUCAUCAAGGUUCUCAGCUGCAGCUAGUUGAUGUGCAAUCAAGAUCUCCUUUUGACCACCUUGGGUUGAAGCUUCAGUUGUCAGAGUAUUCCUUCAGCUACUGAGUGUGCCUCCAACAGUGCCAGUUCUUCUGCCUGCCACCAGCCAGCCAACUCACCAUCAUUUACACCUUUUGUUAAUAAACUUCUUCACUAUCUACCUUGACUUCUGCUCUGCCUCUGGGUCCUAGUCAGCAUAACGUCACAAUUUAGCGGGAGCCACAUUCCAAAACCUGGGAUGUAAGAAGAUCCAUUGAUCAGCUGAUCCAUACUUGAAAUAAAAUGAAACUGUGAA